rfam:Clostridium sp. DL-VIII chromosome, whole genome shotgun sequence.
GGUCAAGCUACAAAGGGCGCAUGGUGAAUGCCUUGGCAUCAGGAGCCGAUGAAGGACGCGAUAAGCUGCGAUAAGCUUCGGGUAGACGCACAUAGUCAGAGAUCCGAAGAUUUCCGAAUGAGGAAACUCACAUGGGAAACCCCAUGUAUCAUAAAGUGAAUACAUAGCUUUAUGAAGGUAAACCCAGGGAACUGAAACAUCUAAGUACCUGGAGGAAGAGAAAGAAAAAUCGAUUUUCUUAGUAGCGGCGAGCGAAAAGGAAAGAGCCCAAACCAGAGAUUUAUCUCUGGGGUUGCGGACAGAACAUAACGUGAAAUUAUAGUUAAUUGAACACAACUGGAAAGUUGGACCGUAGGAGGUAAUAGUCCUGUAAAUGAAAACUAUAAUGAUCAGUUCUGCACCAGAGUACCACGAGACACGUGAAACCUUGUGGGAAGCAGGGAGGACCACCUCCCAAGGCUAAAUACUACCUGAUGACCGAUAGUGAAGCAGUACCGUGAGGGAAAGGUGAAAAGAACCCCGGGAGGGGAGUGAAAUAGAACCUGAAACCAUGUGCCUACAACCGAUCAAAGCACCUUAUGUGUGUGAUGAUGUGCUUUUUGUAGAACGAGCCAACGAGUUACGGUAUGUAGCGAGGUUAAGUACUUAAGGUACGGAGCCGAAGGGAAACCGAGUCUUAAUAGGGCGACUAGUUGCAUGCUGUAGACCCGAAACCGGGUGACCUAUCCAUGGCCAGGUUGAAGCGAGGGUAAAACCUCGUGGAGGACCGAACCACGUUGCUGUUGAAAAAGCAUGGGAUGAGCUGUGGAUAGCGGAGAAAUUCCAAUCGAACUCGGAUAUAGCUGGUUCUCCUCGAAAUAGCUUUAGGGCUAGCGUCGGAAAAUGUGAGUAGUGGAGGUAGAGCACUGAAUAGGCUAGGGGGCAUAGCGCUUACCGAACCUUAUCAAACUCCGAAUGCCAUAUACUAUCAGUCCGGCAGUCAGACUGUGAAAGAUAAGUUCCAUGGUCAAAAGGGAAACAGCCCAGAUCGUCAGCUAAGGUCCCAAAGUGUAAGUUAAGUGGAAAAGGAUGUGGGAUUUCUAAGACAACUAGGAUGUUGGCUUAGAAGCAGCCACUCAUUAAAAGAGUGCGUAAUAGCUCACUAGUCAAGAGAUCCUGCGCCGAAAAUGUCCGGGGCUCAAACUUACCACCGAAGCUACGGGUUCACAAUUUAUUGUGAGCGGUAGAGGAGCGUCGUAAUCGGGCUGAAGUCGUACCGAAAGGAGCGGUGGACUGAUUACGAGUGAGAAUGUUGGCAUUAGUAGCGAGAUGUAAGUGAGAAUCUUACAGGCCGAAUAUCUAAGGUUUCCUGAGUAAAGUUUGUCUUCUCAGGGUUAGUCGGGACCUAAGGCGAGGCCGAGAGGCGUAGCCGAUGGACAAUUGGUUGAUAUUCCAAUACCACUAUCAUCGUUAAUAUCGAGGGUGUGACGAAGAAGGAUAGGAUGUGCUAGCUAUUGGAUGCUAGUCUAAGCGUUUAGGGAGUUGGGAUUGGCAAAUCCGUUCCAACAAUUCUGAGGCGUGAUGGGGAAGGUUCCACGGAACCGAAGUAUCUGAUUCCAUGCUUCCAAGAAAAGCAUCUAGAGAGAGAAGUAGUGCCCGUACCGCAAACCGACACAGGUAGAUGAGGAGAGAAUCCUAAGGCCGACGGAAGAAUUGCAGUUAAGGAACUAGGCAAAUUGACCCCGUAACUUCGGAAUAAGGGGUGCCUACGGAAACGUAGGUCGCAGAGAAUAGGCACAAGCAACUGUUUAACAAAAACACAGGUCUCUGCUAAAGCGAAAGCUGAUGUAUAGGGGCUGACGCCUGCCCGGUGCUGGAAGGUUAAGGGGAAUACUUAGCGCAAGCGAAGGUAUGAACUUAAGCCCCAGUAAACGGCGGCCGUAACUAUAACGGUCCUAAGGUAGCGAAAUUCCUUGUCAGGUAAGUUCUGACCCGCACGAAUGGCGUAAUGACUUGUGCACUGUCUCAACUGCAAAUCCGGCGAAGUUGUAGUGCGAGUGAAGAUGCUCGCUACCCGCGAUUGGACGGAAAGACCCCGUAGAGCUUUACUGUAGCUUAGCAUUGAAUUUCGGUAUUGUCUGUACAGGAUAGGUGGGAGACUGGGAUACCAGGGCGUCAGCUUUGGAGGAGUCGUUGUUGGGAUACCACCCUGAUAGUAUUGAAGUUCUAACUGGAUGCCAUGAAACUGGUGACAGGACAUUGUUAGGUGGGCAGUUUGACUGGGGCGGUCGCCUCCUAAAAUGUAACGGAGGCGCCCAAAAGGUUCCCUCAGAACGGUCGGAAAAUCGUUCGAAGAGUGCAAAGGCAGAAGGGAGCCUGACUGCGACACUUACAAGUGGAGCAGGGACGAAAGUCGGGCUUAGUGAUCCGGUGGUACCUCGUGGGAGGGCCAUCGCUCAACGGAUAAAAGCUACCUCGGGGAUAACAGGCUGAUCUCCCCCAAGAGUUCACAUCGACGGGGAGGUUUGGCACCUCGAUGUCGGCUCGUCGCAUCCUGGGGCUGAAGUAGGUCCCAAGGGUUGGGCUGUUCGCCCCAUUAAAGCGGCACGCGAGCUGGGUUCAGAACGUCGUGAGACAGUUCGGUCCCUAUCCGUCGCGGGCGUAGGAAAUUUGAGAGGAGCUGUCCUUAGUACGAGAGGACCGGGAUGGACUGACCUAUGGUGUACCAGUUGUUUCGCCAGAAGCAUAGCUGGGUAGCUAAGUCGGGAAGGGAUAAACGCUGAAAGCAUCUAAGUGUGAAGCCCACCUCAAGAUGAGAUUUCCCAUAGCAUAAGCUAGUAAGACCCCUUGAAGACUACAAGGUUGAUAGGUCAGAGGUGUAAGUAUGGUAACAUAUUUAGCUGACUGAUACUAAUAGGUCGAGGGCUUGACCAA